rnacentral:tRNA from 1 species
GCAGUGGUGGUUCAGUGGUAAAAUUCGUGCCUUCCAUGCAAGAGACCUGGGUUCAAUUUCCAGCCUUUGCA